rnacentral:rRNA from 1 species
UACGUAGGGGGCAAGCGUUGUCCGGAUUUAUUGGGCGUAAAGAGCGUGUAGGCGGCCAAGCAGGUCCGCUGUGAAAACUCGAGGCUCAACCUCGAGAGGUCGGUGGAAACCGUUUGGCUAGAGUCCGGAAGAGGAGAGUGGAAUUCCUGGUGUAGCGGUGAAAUGCGCAGAUAUCAGGAAGAACACCCGUGGCGAAGGCGGCUCUCUGGACCAGCACUGACACUGAGGCACGAAAGCGUGGGGAGCAAACAGG